UCAGGAAGGCUCUUGUCUGGAACACUGUUCCAGGCUGGAGCACAGAAUUCAAGCCUCUCGCAGCAUCUGACGCAGCUGCCUCUUAAAGCGAGGAAUAAUGUUCCUGUUCCCGAGCACGCCCACAGCAUUCGCCGCGGAUGAGAAUCCGCCAGCAGUUGAUUAAGUGGCCCACCUUCAAAGAGCUUGAAGAAAUGAACAUGUGAAAGGAAAGGAAACCCUAUCCAGAACACAAGAAACUGCUAUUGCUAUGUCCCUUGAUUACAUUAUUGAAGAUGAUAAAGAGCAGUCUAAGUUAACCCUAACACAGGGCUCCAAGAAGAGGGAAGUGUGACCUCUUGUAUAUUUAACCCUGCAAUGAGGAAAUCCUUUAUAUCUUCUGGUAAUGUUUUCAGAGAGGUAAACUGAAUGAUAAACAAGCUAUGUGAUGGCACCUAUAUACAUUUAGUCAAUUACCAUACUUUCCACAGUUCCAUUUAAUCCUGGGAGAAUGGUUUCCACCAGAAUUUGGCCACAUCCAACAGAACAAAUCUUGGCAAAUGCAGUGCAAUGUAACUAUUGCAAGGCUACAGCUGCCUGAACCUUCAGAGCUGCCAUUGAGGCAUAAAAGUGAUGUUCGUGAGCUGUGUAAUUAAUUAUGUGAUGUCAUUUACUCUCACUGUGUUCCUUUGUUAGUCUACAGCUCCUUUCAUUGAGUCUUGGUGAUGUUCAAAAUGAAACCUAUUUUUAACUGAUUUCUUCUGAAUUUAAUCUGUUCAAUCAGCUUAACUUUCUCCAGCAUUUAUAUACUUAUGCUACCAAUUAAAACUGAAAUACACCUGAAAGAAUAAACAGGUUUCAA